rnacentral:rRNA from 1 species
UACAGAGGGUGCAAGCGUUGUUCGGAAUUAUUGGGCGUAAAGCGCGUGUAGGCGGCUUUGCAAGUCGGGUGUGAAAGCCCUCGGCUCAACCGAGGAAGUGCGCCCGAAACUGCAGAGCUUAAGUACCGGAGAGGAUGGCGGAAUUCCCCAAGUAGAGGUGAAAUUCGUAGAUAUGGGGAGGAACACCGGUGGCGAAGGCGGCCAUCUGGACGGAUACUGACGCUGAGACGCGAAAGCGUGGGGAGCGAACAGG